rnacentral:rRNA from 1 species
AGAACGAACGCUGGCGGCAUGCCUAAUACAUGCAAGUCGAACGAACACUUCGGUGUUAGUGGCGCACGGGUGCGUAACGCGUGGGAAUCUGCCCUUGGGUUCGGAAUAACAGUUGGAAACGACUGCUAAUACCGGAUGAUGACGAAAGUCCAAAGAUUUAUCGCCCAGGGAUGAGCCCGCGUAGGAUUAGCUAGUUGGUGAGGUAAAGGCUCACCAAGGCGACGAUCCUUAGCUGGUCUGAGAGGAUGAUCAGCCACACUGGGACUGAGACACGGCCCAGACUCCUACGGGAGCAGCAGUAGGGAAUAGUUGGACAAGUGGGCGCAAGCCUGAUCCGAGACAAGUGACCGCGUGAGUGAUGAAGGUCUUAGGGUUGUAAGCUUCUUUACCGAGAUGUAUAAUGAACUAGUAGUACGGAAGAA